rnacentral:rRNA from 1 species
UGGGGAAUUUUGGACAAUGGGCGAAAGCCUGAUCCAGCAAUGCCGCGUGUGUGAAGAAGGCCUUCGGGUUGUAAAGCACUUUUGUCCGGAAAGAAAUCCUUGGCUCUAAUACAGUCGGGGGAUGACGGUACCGGAAGAAUAAGCACCGGCUAACUACGUGCCAGCAGCCGCGGUAAUACGUAGGGUGCAAGCGUUAAUCGGAAUUACUGGGCGUAAAGCGUGCGCAGGCGGUUUGCUAAGACCGAUGUGAAAUCCCCGGGCUCAACCUGGGAACUGCAUUGGUGACUGGCAGGCUAGAGUAUGGCAGAGGGGGGUAGAAUUCCACGUGUAGCAGUGAAAUGCGUAGAGAUGUGGAGGAAUACCGAUGGCGAAGGCAGCCCCCCUGGGCCAAUACUGACGCUCAUGCACGAAAGCGUGGGGAGCAAAACAGGAUUAGAUACCCUGGUAGUCCACGCCCUAAAACGAUGUCAACUAGUUGUUGGGGAUUCAUUUCCUUAGUAACGUAGCUAACGCGUGAAGUUGACCGCCUGGGGAGUACGGUCGCAAGAUUAAAACUCAAAUGAAUU